rnacentral:misc_RNA from 1 species
AAAGUCGUAACAAGGUUUCCGUAGGUGAACCUGCGGAAGGAUCAUUAACACGUAUCCACCUUACAAACCAACCCGAUGCGUAUCGAAGAUCAAGUAUACGUAGUUAUAUUCGAUUCAUUGCUACUUGGCACUUUUGUGGAUGGUUGGUUGAGUGUCUUCGGAUGCUUGCUGAUCGUUUACGGAUGUGUUUUGAGUCUUUGAGUUGGAUGUCUCGACGGUGCGCUUCAUGUGUUCGCAAGGAUGCAUGCUGCAGCUUGAUUGACGACUCGUGUCACCCUUUUUUACCCCAUUAACCUUAUAAUCUAAACCAUGAUCUCUAGCUUGAGCGUCUUCGUGAUGCUCGUUAGAAUCAUAUUAUUUAACAAGAACAACUCUUAGCAACGGAUGUCUUGGUUCUC